UCCGGUUCAUCACCAGCAGUCCCCUUAGAGUGCUCGACUUAACUCGUUAGCAACUAAGGGCAAGGGUUGCGCUCGUUACGGGACUUAACCCAACAUCUCACAACACGAGCUGACGACAGCCAUGCAGCACCUGUCUCUGCGUUCCUUUCGGCACUCCAAGCUCUCACUCGGAUUCGCAGGAUGUCAAGAGUAGGUAAGGUUCUUCGCGUUGCAUCGAAUUAAACCACAUGCUCCACCGCUUGUGCGGGCCCCCGUCAAUUCCUUUGAGUUUCAACCUUGCGGCCGUACUCCCCAGGCGGAGAACUUAUCGCGUUAGCUUCGAUACGGAAAGGUCGCCCUCCCCACAUCUAGUUCUCAUCGUUUACAGCGUGGACUAC
rnacentral:misc_RNA from 1 species